UUUUUUUUUUAUAGGUUCUGGAUGCAUUGCAAAAGAUAAAGGGGGAGGAAGAUUCGAGUUUGAGUUACCGAAGGUCGUGUAGAGAAGGAAUAUGUGGAUCAUGCUCAAUGAACAUAAAUGGUGUUAACACCGUAGCAUGUCUCAAGCCUAUAGAUACAGACACUAGCAAGCUAACUACCAUCACUCCUCUUCCUCACAUGUUUGUUAUCAAAGAUUUGGUGGUUGAUCUCUCUAAUUUCUACCACCAGUACAAGUAAUUUCCCUCUCCUUUUCUCAUUUCAUCAAGUUAUUUAAUUCCGAUUAUACGUCCAUAAGUAAUGUUCGAUGUAGACAUGCCAUGUUUGACAUUGAUGUUUAGAAAUAUCACCCUAUUGUUUAAGUUUACUCAAAAAGAUUCUGGUAGUCACUACUAUAGUAGUACUUAUUCUGUUUCAAUUUAUGUUGCACUAUUUGAUUAGGUACAUGACGUUCAAGAAAGUAACUAAGACUCUUGAAAUUUGUGGUCUAAAGCAAGCCUCAAGACAUUUUUAUGAAAGAUAAAAGAGGAAUUUUAAAGUUAAGUUGUUUCUAAUUAUGAAAAGUGUAAUAUUCUUUUUGGACAAUUUCGAAAGGAAAGUAUGCUACAAAAACCGGGACGGAUGGAGAAUAUUUGCAUGUACAAAUACUUGCAACAAUUUAUAGUCGAAUCUUAAUUAAUUAGUGUCAUUGACUAGAUCUGUUUCAAGUUCACUAUACCUAUAUUUUAGGUUUAAGUAUCUACAUACCCUUAAAGUUGUCCGCAAAAUUCACUUAGACACCUUAACAUAUCCCCUUUCCUAUUAGACACUCAAAUCUUAAAAAAUAAAUACCUAUCAAACAUUUUUUUAAGACCUGGUCAAAAGAGGAAGUGCGUGUAAUACACUAAAAUCACCUCUUGUCCACCAUUGUUAUUUUCUAAAUGAAGAUUUUAACAUAACUAAGUAUGAAUUUAUUUUCUUCUUUUUUCUGUUAAUGUUUUCUUUUUUGUUCCUAUUUCAAAAUCGAUAGUAUUUUUUUUUUCUCAAAAUAAAAUAAAAUUUGUUCAUUCUCUUUUUGUUUUGAUUUCAAAUUUACUUUCUGUUUCUAUUUUGUUACGAAGAAAGAAGGGGUGUGGAUCAAAGGCAGUGUGUGGGGCCUCCAUAUUUUUCGGAAUGGUGAUCUCCAUUUUUUCCGACAAAAAAACUUAGAUUAUGUUUUUCAUUUUUUCUAACAAAGGAAAUGAGGGUAGUUGACUCCAUUUUUUAUUAAAUUUAAGCAUAAGCUUAGAAGAAGUAAAUUUAUAAAAAAAAAUGUAAGGUGUUGCUAUGAAUAAUUGGUGGCAACAGGUCUGCAAUUUUGAAAGAGAAAGAAGAAAGAAAGAUUGUUAUUUUUUUAAAAAAAAUAAUGAGAAACAAAAAAGAAAAAACUAAAAAGGUGUUGAUUAAAUGGUUCACGCGCCUAACAAGGUGUGGGUUACACUUUUUGUGCCGCGUGUGCACAAAGUGUCUAAUUCAUAAUAGUCAAGGUGUUCAAUAUGUACAAGCCCCAGUUAAGGUGUUUAAGUGAAUUACGCGGACAACUUUAAGAGCUGUCGAUGACUUAAGCCUAUAUUUUAUAACCUUUCAUUUUCAAUAGAUGUGAAUCUGCAAUCUAGAGUAAUUAGCAGAGUAGGUCUAGAAUGGAUGAUCUUAUUAUGUCUACAAGUUCUAAAUGUUUUUGGUGUGUGCGUAUAUAGUUACACUGAAUCAAUGAAUUAAUAAUGAGUUCAUCAGUUGAGUUGAACUCUGUGAUAGAUUCGGCCUCACAUCGACAAUUAUAUAUACAUUGGAGCAUGGUGCAAAAAAUGAAUGUUGUGGGUGUUUGCAGGUCUAUAGAGCCAUGGUUGAAGACACGAAAACCGCCCCCAGAUGGGAGAGAAUACAGGCAAACACCAUUGGAUAGGAAGAAACUUGAUGGCUUAUAUGAAUGCAUAUUAUGUGCUUGUUGCAGCACUUCUUGUCCUUCUUACUGGUGGAAUCCCGAGGAGUUCCUUGGGCCUGCAGCCUUGCUCCAUGCCUAUCGAUGGAUCUCGGACAGGUUAAUUCUUCAAAACACCAGUCGAAUAAAUACCAAAAAUAUGGUCAUUUCACUCCGAUAAUUAAUUUUCUUUUUUCUUUAGUCGAGAUGAAUUUGCAAAUGAGAGAUUGCAGGCAAUAACAGAGGACCAAGGGCGUUUGUACCGGUGCAGGACUAUAAAAAAUUGCACAGCAUGUUGCCCGAAGAGCCUUAAUCCUGCUAAUGCCAUAAACAAGAUGAAGACUAUUCACUUAACUGAGAAGCCAAUCGAGGAUCUUGAAGCUGAGCCCGAGCCUCGUUUUGGGCAAGCCUAAUCUAGUGUGUUCAUAGAAAAUAUAUUGUAGCACGUACAAGUCUAUUAUAGCACGUAGCAAAUAUAAAGUGUGAGCGUAGUUUGUCUAUGCUCACACUUUAAGAUUGUUAUAGUUACAUUUUAAUUUAAAGUUAUAGAUAUUCUUCAAAGUUCAAAUUACAUUACUAUAUCAGCUAUCUGGCUCAUGGCCAUCUUCAGAUUUUCACAACAUAAUGUCUUUCAUUACUUAUUACUGAUUGAUUAAAUUGAAUUUCAUAAAGUAGAGAUGGAACAUCAGGUAAGUGAAAAUGUCACGCCCACGUCAAAUUAUAUGUGAUCUAUAUAAAUUUAUUAGUUACUUUUUGUAGUAUAUAUUUCAAGAAACUAAAAUAAAUAUUUAUUUUUAAUUUUUAAUUUAAAGUUAAAGCUUAACUACUUUAGAAGAUUGUUAAAGAUUAGGGUUUGUUUGAAUGAACUUUUAAAAAGUAGUAAUUUAUAAGUUAAAAGUUACAAGUAGAAGAUAUCCUACUUUUGACCUUUGAUUUAUUUUAUAUCUUUUUUUUACCUAAAAUCGAAGGAUUAAAGUAACUUUUUAACCUUUUCAAGUACCUCUAAAAUUUAAAAAAUAUUUAAAAAUUAAAAGCACCUAAACAUAAACAAAUCCAAAGCGGGAACUAAGUCGCCUCAAAAUUUACAUGAAGAAAUAUGUAAUAAAAAAUAUAUGUAAGAGAAUAAAUUUAUCUCUAUACCUGUGGGAAAAGUCACCCAAAAGGAUCUUGGCGCAAAAGUCCAAAACGGUGCCGUUUUGCUCAUCACCUUCUUCGCAGGAUUUCCAUAACCCUUGCAGUUGAUAUUCAGUAGAAAAGAAGAUAUUAGUAUAGAGAAUAGUGCAAUUUGUUACCCCAUAAGUUCCAAUUCUAAGAUACCCAUUUUUGUUUACUUCACAUAAUUUGUCAAGUUAUUUGCAAAAUGCAAGUAUACAGGUCUCUCUUAAAUUCAAUCAAGAACCGUUCUAUACAGACCCUUAAUACAUAUGAAAGGUAAUGUGCAUUUUUUAUAAUCUAUACUCAAUCACACACUGUUGAAAUUUUAUGGGUUUUGGUUUUCUUGAAUUUUUAUGGUUUCGAUUUUUAUGGGUAAUUUGUGUUUCUAUAACUUUUUUCUGUAUUAUGGAAAUUUUAUAGUUUGGUUUGGUUAUUCUUUUGUUUAAAUAUGGUUUUUGUAGUGUUUUGCCUCCAAAUAUUCUGUGUAGUCUGUUGGUUUGUUACUAAUCUACUUAGAUUUUGAGAAAAAAAUGUGAGAAGAUUCGUCCCUUUACGAACCUCAAACUGUUUGGUUGUUGGAAGGGGGAAGUAAGCAAGAAGAGAUGAAACUGUAGUGAUCUACUUCUCCUUAGUAAGAAGCAUUUCUAAUUUCUUUCCAGUUGCUAAUGAAGUUGGAGAAAACAAUAUUGGUAUAUUUUCUUAUAAAUGGACGGAUUGAAAUAGCAUUAUGAGAGAACAAAAUAUGUUAGUGAAAGCUCUAAUUAUGAUGUUAUUGAUGCUUGGUUGAAUAGUAGGAGAAACAAAUUUUGAUGAACACACUGGUUCUAGUGUUCUAUUGCAUUUAAUAUGGUUGAUGCGGAGUUAGUUAUAUCUUUUGCCUUAAACUUGAAUACUAGAAAUAAUAAUGUUGAGAGUACCUUUGCAUAGAUGAUACUUAAUAUAAAGCAAAAUUUGAAAUAUCUAGGUUAAAAUUCCAAUUGUAUGACUGUUAGAAAUGUGGAAGUGUGGGUGGCAUUAUCGUCAAAGUUGCUUUUAUGUCUGAUUUCAGCUAUAACAUGGCUUACUAAAGUUCCUUUUGAUAAACAUUGGUUAAGGGGUCUUGUAGAAUUAAAACUUGUCUAACCUAAUGUGUUACUUGUGGUGUUUUGGGUUCAUGAGUUUCAAUUGGUAGCAGGGGGAGGCUGUCUUGGAUAGAUAGAUUAAACAUGCUAUGUGGCUCAUGGAUUUCUCCAAGAGACAUGGAGGUCCCCUUAGAAGGAAACUUUGUGAAGUUUCAGUUUAUGCGUAACAACUCUUACUUUCACCCGUAACUAUGUACUUCUUAUAGUGGCCAACUGUCUCUUUCUAGUUUCUCCCUUAGGCAUUUUGUAAUUAUAAGGUUGUAAGAUCCAUCAUGAGCAAAAUUUGAUUUUGAGUAAGAGACUAGUAGUAACUUGCAACAACAACAUACCUAGUGGAAUCCCACUUGGGAGGAUGGUGAGUAAAUGACUAGUAGCAACUUCCAUCAGGAAAAUAAGGGAGAAACUUAUAAGUCUAAAAUGUAGCAAAUAAUUACUACUGCCUCACAUAGAGGCUAAGUUGGGGGAGCGUCAGUCUUUUGUUGCUAUAAGGGAAGGGGGAGAGGAUUGUUUCACGGCAAGUCAAAAAGAACUGUAAGUUUCCAAUCUUCAGAAGCUUGAUGUGGAGAAUUUCUUAAAUUUACUCUCCAUCAGAUUCAGCUUUGUAAGAUUUUUGACUCAUCUAAAGUUGCAGUUAUACCUGUCCAAAGUUUUAGUUAGUCGAGAGAGCAUCAGCUUCAUGUGACAGUAAAGUAUUGAAAUGUAGAUGAUACUUCCACUGUUGUGAGCUUGAUGUGUUAAAAGUAGGGGAGUGUAGAUGGAGCUUUUUUACUUCUAUUUUCUACAGAAAAUGCCCAUUUUGAAUGCAUAAAAUGUAUCUAUGAGGAGAGAUAUGCAUAAUGCAUUAUUACCUUGUGAGAGAUUAGUAUGGACUUAAGACGUAUUUCUUUUUUUCAUUUUGAAUUUACUUGCAAUUAUCCUGGCAAAAGAAUCCAAAAUUUGCAAGAAGAGAGGAACUCUCUAUAGACAUUCACUUCAAUUACAAUUGGAACAAGUCGUUUCAAGUUUUAUUCCUAAACAAGUUAUGAUGUAUUGGUGAUGCAAAUCAAGCCCUGUAAGUGCGCACUGAUGCUUUCAAUGAUACUGCCUUCUCCUUUCAAAAAGAAAUGGGGGGAAAAGAGAAAAGAAACGACUCAAAUACAUGUAGAACAGGAAGUAUAAAAGUAAACCAUUUCAGUUUCAAAUUAUGGAGUGCACUGCAAUUUUUCUGAUUACUUGUUUCAUGUGUAGGUUUAUCCCACCUAAGCGCUUCCAUUCAGCCAGCUGCAUGAGGUCUGCUAGAAAGACUUAUGAUCCGCCUUUAUUAACUGGACCAUCAACAUCAAAAUCUUGGAAACCUUAUAUAUUAGUAUUGCAUUUGAACUCCAUUUUCCUUUUGAUGUGUUUUGUGACUGUUGUUGCAUGUGCUCUGUGCGGUUGUCUAUGGCUCCGUUAUCUCAGUUGUCUUCAUCUUAUUUCUACUUUGCAGCCUGGAGCUGCUUUGGGAGGAUUCGGUGGACUGCUCCUUUUUCUUCGUUAUAUUGAUGAAAGGAGAGCAAUUCCAAAAGGUGGGGCUCUGGGUAUAUAUUUUAAGCAAAGCUUUAUGUGUCUUUCAAUACAAAUACACCUCAAUGCGGAUUAUGUGCUUUUGAAUGCUGCAAUUAAUACUUUAGAUGGAAACAAAAAAUGAAGAAACAAAUUAAGGAUGUAGGUGUGUAGUGAAUUAAGAAGUGGUACAUGGCUGAGUCCAUAUGCUGGAUCAUAGCUCCUUACUUAAAGUGGUUAUCAGCUUUUGUUUAAUAAUGGAGCACAAGAGAUAAAGCCUCUUUUGGUUGUUAAACUUCUAAUCUACUAAAAGUCCAGAACUAUAGACUAAAAUUAUUUUCUUCCCUGAGUCCUACUUAUCAUGCAGCCAAAUAGCCGCAUACUGGAUCAUUGAUAGACUUAUUAUGGCAGUCUCGGUAUCUUUCUAGUUUAUUGGACUAUUUUCUCUCUUUUUAUGUUUCCUUAUCAGAAAGUGUUGGUAUGUUUGUCCACUUGAAUCAUGCUCUUUUUGAAGUACCACGUGCAUUUACUUUCUGAUAGUUUUGUAGUGCCAUAAAUAUUAAUGAUUGGUACACAAUAUAAAGCUUUCAUGCCUUUCAGGUCAAGGCGAGAAAUUUGAAAGAAGUGCAAUUCAAGGGCCAAUCAUUGGCGGCCCAUUCAGCUUGAUUGAUACAGAAGGCCAUUUGGUUACCGAGCGCAACUUGCUGGGAAACUGGGUUCUUCUCUACUUUGGUUAUACUUCAUCUCCUGAUGUUGGUCCAGCAGAAGUACAAAAGAUGGCUAAAACUACUGAUAUUCUAGGUUCAACUCGGGUUCUUUGAAUGGAUAUUAUAUUUUCUUAUUUACUGGCUUAUGUUGCUGAUGUUGUUAUUUUAUUUUUGCUUUGUGGUCCUUUCUGCUUAAUGUAAACAAGGUUCAAAACAGGAUCAUCAUAAGAUUCUCCCAGUAUUUGUCACAAUUGAUCCUCAACGUGAUACGCCUUCGCAACUUCGAGCUUAUCUUAAAGGUCUGGAUCUAGCUUCUCUGAUCUCUUUCUCUCUCUAGGUUCUGGAAUGAAUGUCUUGGUUGAAAGAAUUGUGGAAAGAGAUCCCAACCGGGGGGUGGGCUUGAAGAGAAAAGGCUCAAUCCUAUAGUUGUCUCCUUUUAUUUGAUGUUUAUUUCCUACACUUAAGCUGUGCUGAUUUUAUUUGCAUGAAACACAGAGUUUGACCCAAGAAUAAUGGGAUUAACUGGACCAGUUGCUGCUGUUAGACAGAUGGCACAGGAAUACCGAGUUUACUUUAAGAAGGUUGAUGAAGAAGGAGAUGAUUAUCUGGUAGAAUCUUCUCACAACAUGUAAGCCUCAAGUCCUAUAUAUUGUCAAAUAAGAAGCCCUCUCUUUACAACUAUGGAAGAAUAAACUCUCAGUUUCUUUUACCUGCGCUAGAGCAAUUUGACAGAGUCAGAUGUAUAUUGAUGUAAUAGGUAUUUGGUGAAUCCAAAUAUGCAAGUAGUUAGAUGCUUUGGUGUGGAAUACAGUGGGGAGGAACUGGCCGAUGCAAUAGUUAAGGAGCUAAAGAAAGCUGAGACAUAGCAAUACUCGAAGUGGAUUUGGCGAAGUAAGUACAUCAUACUUAGGUUAGGUUCUUAUAUUACCCUUACAUAUCUUCAUCAUCAUGUUUUAUUCAAUGGUUUCUAAGGGUCAUAGUUCAUUUUUUUGUUCUAAAUGUACAACUUCAUUACAGAAAAUAAAUAUACGUGCUAGUAACCUUGUUUGUCUACCAUUUUCAUGUACAGAUCUUCUCCAAUUCUUUGUUAAAUGUUGUAUUAUCAUCCUCUUGGCCAAUCCAUGGCUAUCUGCAGCAGGUACCCAGGGGAAUAGUCGAGGUGCGUGCAAGUUGGCACAGACCCCACCGUCGUAUAAAAAUGAAAAGGAUUUCACUUAUCUGCAUAAGACCCUAAAAACAUUAUAUUAUGAAAUAUGAAGACAGUGAAAUAGGGACAGAAAUCCUGCUAAAUUUUUGUCAAUAAUGAAAACACACUAAAUGGAAAAUAACGUAGAUUCUAUCAAAAGUUGUUUCUGCCAAGAAAAACACGUAACACCAAUAAAUUCAUGAGAGAUUAUUUCUAAAAGGGCUCCAGUAAGUCACGUAUGGUUAUAGAACUACUACUACUAUAAAACCCAUAUGAGAGACAUAGGAAUGGGCUUUUUUUAAAAUUCUUUUCUGUCCAAAUAAUGAUGAUGUCAGCUUCUUUAUUGUCUUGUUUAAAUCCCAAGUCUAAUAUUACAUUUUACUCUAAAAUAGUUUGGGAAAAAGGUUGAUCCAUGUGUUUUACUUCUAUUUUAUAUUUGUAGCAAAAAUCACAUGAAAAAUGUCACCCAAAUGUUUUAUUGUUCCCAGAUAUGUUGGCUGCGGAAAAUCUGUCAUUUCUUAAUCAAAUUGCUAUAGCAGAUAGCUUUUAGUAUGUAGAACAUGUUUUUCUUUCAUCUUCCUGCCAUAUAUAGUGGAAAGGACAGUCCGCCUCAAACCUUGACGUUGGGGGGUCCCAGUCACCAAGGGAGCAAGUGGGGAAAGAAGUCAAGAAUAACUCCUGACUUCUAAGUUGAGUGGGGUCUGGCCUUGGGGUUUAGCGUAUCAAAUGGAAAGAAUAGAAAAAGAGUUGGCUGCAGAAUGAAUGUCAGCUACAGAUUGAUUAAGAGUUUGAUGCAGAGUAACUUAAUAAAAGAAGUACUAAAGUAUUAGAAAGGAGCCAUCCUUAGUUCUUUUGCUAUCAUAGAACAUUGUAUGUACUUUUUUAUUCUCUUUUGUUUGCUCCAUCCUAAACUUUUAUCACCUUGUAUCAGCAUCUUGAGAGAUUUUGAAUAACUAGUCAGAUUUUGGGGGCCAUGGGUUUAGAACAUGUUAUGCAAGGAUUAGUAGUGUAGGGAUUAUAACACGUAGAUUAUUUCUUGUAUGAUGUUUAGUUGAUAUAUUACAAAUUAGUAGUGUAUAAUUGAUAUAUGUGCUAUCUUCUUAAACAAAUAUAAGUUUUUUUGCUAUUUUAUAUGAGGGUUAGUUUUGUCUUGUUUUAAUCCAGGUGUUACUACUAAUACCUGCAUUCUUAUUUCACGUUCUGUCCUACAUAUUAAUACAUAGAUUCCCGCACCACUUAUGCAAGUAUCAGUUAUGAGGAAAAGAAAACAAGUAAUGAAACAUUGUAUUUAUUAUGUGGGGUUUUAUGUGGAGAUUGUUUUUUUUAAUGAAUCCAACUAAACGACCCCUUAGUGUAUGAGCAGUAUCAGGUACAGUACCCUAGUGUGUAAAAAUAGCUUGCGACUUAUAGCCGGAGAACAUUACUAGGUUGAUUUGUGCUGAGCUUAUAAGCUGAUACUCUGCUUAACUAUUAUGUCAAGUACAGUACACAUGCAUGAAGUGUGUUGUAAACCAUUAGUUCUGUCUUAAGAAUUAUUGGGAUGGGUAAAAUUCCUACCUUCAGUACCUGGGAACUUCUGCUACAAGAUAUCUGCUACUUUUUAGCUAGUACAAGUAGCGGGUACUCUUUCUACCAAGGUUUAGAAGAUGAGAAAGAAAUUACUUGGUUUUUUUACCUAGAAUUUUAACUUUGGUUUCUCAUGUUCUAUCCCCGUUUUAUUGAAUGCGAGGCGGAUCUAUUAGAUGAAUCCUGUAAUUCAUUUCGCUCUAUUUGGAGUUGCUAUGUUCAAAUACUCAAUAAGUGAGUGUUUAAGGUUGCAUUCUCACAAUUGACAUUUUCAUGCCCCUUAAUAGGUUCUCAUGCUUGUAUGAAACCUUUCUUACAUCUGACAUUUACAUGUCCCCUAAUAGGUGGAGCCAGACGUUCAAUUUUUGCCUGUUGUCGUGGCCAUUUAAGGACCUUUGUAGCAGCUGAGUUCGAUUAGAUGGGCUAGUCAUCUCUCAACAAUUUACUAGUUCAGAAAAAGUUUUGAAGAGAAAUUUCUCUGAUGCUUAGAUGGUCAGAGGCUUGGAAAAAAAGAGAGAAGAAAACUAGCAAUAUCUUCAGUUUUUAGCAAAUUGGUUCUGAUACUUUUUGCCACCUUUUUUCUUGUCUGGGCUUAAUGAAUUUGGACCUGGUCGGUGGGUAAUACAAAGUAGGUGACUGUUUGGUUGCCUAGCAAAAGUUUCAUUCUAUAAUUAAUUGGAUAUAAGACUCAGUCAAGUUUGAAAACAUUAACUGAAGAAGGGUAACUUCUUGAAUUUCAACCUCAUUGUUGACUAUAUAGCUACUUACUUUUCUCUUAGGAGAAGUGAAACCAAGAAAAUGUAAUUUAGGCAUUGUUAAAAAACAUGCAGACGAGUUCAAAAAAGAGACUAAGGAGUUGAAUUUUGAGUUUCUAAAUUGAUGUGCUCAAUCCAAAGUUGAUAAUUCUAUAUUUGACUUUUAAAAAAAAAAAACUAUUUUUCAAAUACAUGAAGUUGUGAACUUGUGAUUUAUAAAAAAUUUAAUGUAGUAUGUAGUUUUUUAGUAUAUUAAUUUUCUAUCUAUAUAUAAAUAAAUUAGAAACUAGUGCUGAAACUUUACAUUAUAAAUUAUAUUGAUCAAUUCUCAAAGAGUGCAUGCAUGGUUAUUGGUACUUCAAGGCUUAAAAGUCCACUUACAGACAUUUACAUUAAGGAAGACACAAAGAAGUUCGUGGAUGGGAAACGGUGACAAUAUUACUAUUUUCUUUUUGGUUUAAUAAUUCAACAAUUCAUUAAACUUAUCAGUGAAAUGGAUUUAGACAUUCAAAUUAUGAUUUAUUAAAUUAAGCUUUUGAACACAUGAUAAAGUGUGUUUAUUAAACAUUUUUGUGUGUUCUCAAGUUUCUAUAAAGUAACUAUUAACCACAUAAUAUACAUUGCCUCUAUUAGUUAUAUACAUCAAUUGAGAUAAACUCAAGAUUUUACGUUUUAUUGAUGUUAAUCAUGCUUAAUUGAAGGAGAUCACUAUGUUAAAUGAUUAACCUAUCUAUAUAAUAAGCCUUUGAGAACACAUACUGAAACUUUUAUAUAAGUUCAAAUCAGAAAGUCUAAUAGAAACAUUUUAUCAUAUGAUUAGAUGCUCAAUCAGAAAAAGAUUUUACUGACAAGUUCAAGAAUGAUGUAAUAAACCUUUUUUUUUCCUUACUUAGACAAUGUAAGACUAGGGUUGCAUAUUGGUUGGUUCGUUCAGUUUUGAAGUUUAUCGAUUCGACUUAUUUGUAUCGGUUUGUAGACAUGCUAAAUCAUUAUAGAAUCAUUACAUGCUAAACCAUUAUAGAAGUAGACCAUUAAGAUAUUAGUUUAUCGAUUAUUGAUCGUUACCGAUUCGAUUAUUGAUUUAACCGUUAAGAUUUAACACACAAAAAAAUCAUUGAAGAUUACUUAGAAACAAGGUGACAAACCAAAUGAAUCAUGCACAUGGGCUGACAUAUUACAUAAACAUCAACAUAUUAUAGAAUAAUCGAGAGCUUGAGAUAGUCAAAUUUGAAAGAAUGAAACUAAACUUAAGUCAAGGACUUUGUAUACCAAAUGUAUAAAUACAAUUUAUUAAUUUACUAUCGAAUUAUCAGUUAAUCCUUUAAAAAAAUCUCAGAUCGUCAAAAAUCGACAAUCUAAUAUAAAAAGUCAAAAUCAUUAUCAACGAUAAAUCAACAUAUAUUUUUCAAUUUUAAUUUCGACUUCAGUUCGAUUUUAAACCGCUCUACUAAAACAAUGGAAAAAUAAAGCAAGAGUAGGUAUGUGGACCAUCUCCAAAACCCUUAGAAUUAGAAAACAGCUGGCAGCCAUACGUGAGCUGCUCAAAGUCUCCUACGUGAACUCCUCUCCUUAAUUUGACUUUGUUCAAAAAAGAUUUAAAAAAAAUAGUAGAAAAAAAAAGAAGAGAAAAUAAAAAAUAAUGAAAUAAAAGAUUCUGCCAACACUAAAUAGUUUUAUUCCUCUAAAUAUCUUGAGAUGCUCCUUUGUUCCAUGACCGAGUCUUUUGGUCUCCCUUAUUACACCACAAACACCAAACCAACACCAAAAAAAAAAAAAAAAAAAAAAAAUUAAUUAAUUUUAACCAAAUAGAAAAGCAGAAAAAAGUAAAAGAAAAGGAGUUGAAAAAAAUCCCUUUUGCAUACAUUCAUCAUUACUAGUAUUAUUUUUGUGUCAUUUACCCCCAUUUCUUCUUAUUUCUUCCCUCUCUGAUCAAUUUUCACAUUCCAUUUCUCUUCUUGAUGCAAUCAUUUCAUUGCCAACAGAAAGAGAGAGAAACAAACACUAAAAAAAGAAACAAGAAAAAGAUAUUCUAAAGAUACAUAGAAUAUGACAAUUAUGUACUCUUCUCCUUGGGGCAGUUACCAUUUUUCACACAACCAAUUUCAUUAAAUGUAACAUCUUGUUUUUGUACAUUAUGGGUCCUUAAUUUUCUUGGUGAGUUAUCUAUUUUUUUAACUUGGCCUACAAGUCUUAUUUCUUACAUAAGAAGCUCCUUUGAUAAGUACUAAAUUUCAUGUGGUGCCACAUUUGUUGAUCAUCAGAAGAAUUUCAUAUCUCAACUAUCCAUUUAAUUAAUAAUGGGAGACGCUUCUGAUGAAAGGAAAACGGGUUGUGGCCUGUUGAACGCGGUUUUUGGAAGGAAAAAUAUGUGGACAAAAAGAUCAACAUCAACAGGUUCGCUUCCAAUGCCAAAUUCCAAUAAUGUUAACAAUUUAACUCGAUCUUCUAGUACUCAAAAUUCUAAAAAGCAUCGUAAUGGAUCCAACGAGGCUUUUUUAGACAAUCGUGACAACGAGAAACAAGCUGAUAGGAUCAUACCAAGACCUAAUCAAAAUCAAUCCAAGGUAGCUGCGAAUAAGGGUAAUUUGCAAGGUGCUGCACCUGUUUAUAAUCAGCAGAAAAAUAAUGGUCAAGGGGUACAACAAGGGUAUAAUAAUCAAGGAAGAAAAGUAGCUCCGCCAUCAAUGGGGCUAUCAGGGGAGCUUGAAAACAUGAUACAAGAUCAUCAAAGAUCAAAGGGAGCUAAUACAUUAGUCCGUGCAUCGUCUAGCAACGUGAUGUUGUUUGGUAAUUUGGGUAACAUAAGGCAGCAAGGUGGGGGCAAUGGUACUGGUGCUACAACAACUUCAACAGCUAAUCAUGUUCUUGAUUAUUUACCAAGAACGGCUAAAGAAGAACCACCACAACAACCAUCUCAGAAUGGGAAAUAUCCUACGAGUGUUAUGGGUAAUGUGGUAAAGAAAAAGGGUGAUCAAGAGCAGGGGAAAACAGGGGGCUCUGUUUCCCUUUGUCGCGCUUUAUCCACAAGAAUGGACCCUGAGCAAUUGAAGAUUCUUGGAAAUGAGGAUUACAAGAAUGGAAGAUUUGCUGAGGCUUUAGCUUUGUAUGAUGCUGCAAUUUCAAUUGAUCCUAAUAAGGCUUCUUAUAGAAGCAACAAAUCCGCUGCUUUGACUGCUUUAGGAAGGCUUCUUCAAGCUGUUUUUGAGUGCAGAGAAGCUAUAUCAAUUGAUCCUCAUUAUCAAAGAGCUCAUAAUCGUUUGGCCACCCUAUGUGUCAGGUAAAUGUAAAAAAAUAAUACUAUUCAUUUCGUCAUGAAUUACUAUUACAAUUGUUGAAAUGACUAUUGUUUUCGUAUUUAGAUUAGGAGACACAGAGAAAGCUAUGUACCAUUACAAACAAGCCGCAUCAGAAGCUGAUCCUGAUGUUGUGACAAAGUCUAAAACUAUCCAAAUUCAUCUCAACAAGUGUACUGAGGCGAAGAGGCAAAGAGAUUGGAACACUCUUCUUAAAGAAUCUGCCCUCGCCAUAUCGGCUGGUGCAGAUUCUGCAUCACAGGUUAACUAUCUUACUCAUUAAACCAUAAGAAUUUGUUCUUUUCUUUAGUGUCAUGAGCUAAAUAUUUUUUGUUGUCUAUCGAUAAAAAAAAAGAAGAUAUUUGCUUUGAAAGCGGAGGCGUUGGUGAAGCUCCAUAGAUACCAUGAAGCAGAUCAAACUCUGAAGAAUGGUCCGAAUUUUGAUAUCGAUGAAUGUAUAAAGUUCUUUGGCCCUAUUGGCAAUGCAGGCUUGUUAGUCAUUCAAGCUCAAGUUGACAUGGCUGCUGGCAGGUUAGUUAGUUCUCAGAUUUCAAACUAUUCAACAUUUCACACCUCCACCCUUUAAUAAAAAAUUGUAUUCAAUCUAGGUCGCAGUUGUGGUCCUAAAGAUGCCAAUAACCAAUAUUAGGACAGAAAGUAAAGACUUAAUUAGUAUUGGAUUAUUGUCUAACAAAUAAAAUGUUUGGUUUAGCUAACAACUCAAAAGGAGAAUUAUGUGUAGGAGAAAAGAGAAACCAAAAAGAAGAGUACUUGAGUAUGUAUUUGGUAGUUGUAGGUUCAAUUUGACAUAUGUAAAUCACCCUCAAUCAAUAUUCAUGCUUGCCAACACGAGUAGUUUAAAAACCUAAGUAUUGAUUUACAAGGUUUUCAAGACAUUGCUUAUUUAAUAUUCCUUCUAUGGACAAUAAAUUACAAAAUAAUGCGUCUCAAUCAGUCAUAUCGUCUUACAUAAAAUACAAAAUAACAGACUCAAUCAAUAAAGUAUGUCUCAAUUUCAAACUAAUUGAACUCGGUCAUACGAAUGCUCUAAAUAUGUAUAUGCCAUAUUCCAAUCAACUAAACAUGACAUUAUAUUUCCAUCGUUACUAUCAACUUAUUAUGAUUGUUAUAUGAUAGGAUUGACGAUGCCCUAGCAGCAGCUCAACGAGCAUCCCAACUAGAUGGGAACAACAAGGAAGUGAACAUGAUAGUUAGGAGAACAAAGGCAGUAGCAAGUGCUAGAACAAAGGGAAAUGAGUUGUUUAAAGGUGGAAAAUAUGGAGAUGCUAGUGUUGCUUAUGGUGUAGGACUAGAGCAUGAUCCACACAACUCAGUUUUAUUGUGCAACAGAGCAGCUUGCAGGUCAAAACUUGGCCAAUUUGAGAAAUCACUUGAGGAUUGCAAUACUGCCCUUAAUGUUAGACCAUCUUUCACCAAAGCUAGGUUGAGGAAGGCUGAUUGUUACUUUAAGGUAACUUUUCAUUUUCCUUAUGCUUUGAUACGAAUAUGGUGUAUUGAUAAUGUUAAUAUUAGUAAUGCUGAUAUCAGUUAUGCUUACAUUAGUUAUGUUUCAGAUUAUUUCUUUUGCAGUGUUUUAUUUAGUGUAUUAAAAAUAACAUUUAUUUGAUUUUUUUUUCUUUGAUUGAUAUAAUUGAAGAUUUUGUGUGUGAUAUACUAGAUGGGAAAAUGGGAAGCAUGCAUACAAGAAUGUGAAGUGUUGAUAAAGGAGACACCAGAAAAUGAGGAUGUGGGACAAAUGAUUAAGGAUGCUCAACAACAACUCAAAAAAUGAGGAAUUUUUCAAAGACAUGAAGAGCAUGAACACCACCAAUGACAUUUAUGGUUGUCAUUAAUUUGUCAAUCUCCAUAACAAAUUAAUUUGAAUUGUAUCAUCACUUGUUUGUUCAAUUCCAAUCCCUCCAUAAAAGGAAACAAAAGGGUCAAAUAUAGAAAAAAGUGGUAGGGAAGGGGUUAAGAGAAGGAUUUAUAAAGGUCUUUUAGGGAACAAAGAAAAGAGAUAAUGGGAGAAAGAUCAAAAGAUUAAGAGGCAUGAGUUAGAAAAUAGGAUUUGGUAGGCUAUAUUGGCUCAUCUCUUUAGGAAAAAAAAAAGAAAAAGAAUUAAAGAAAGGAAUUCAUUAGGGUGCUUUGGAAACAAAAAAUUAAAGCACUAUGAAUUUUUAGUGAAUGAGAACAAUUCUUUUACAUUUGUUGCAUUUUCUUAAUAUGUAAUUAGUUUGUUUAACAUGGUUUUCCUGACUUUUUCUCCAUUUUGCCUUGUUUUUUCUUCUCCCUCACUCACAAAAAUAAAAACUACUCUAUCAGUCUCAAAAUACUUACUAUGUUUUUCAUUUACACGCUUCUUAAGAAAAUACUACUCAGAAAGGGUGUUUGACUAUUUUAUCCUUAUUUAUAUCUUAAGAUAUAAUCUUUAUUUAUUAAAUAUUUAGUCUAUUUAUAUGCCAUAAUUGAGGUAUUAAUAGUGUUAAAACAAUUUCUACUAAGAAUGAAUGAGGAAAUAAUAAUUAAUCUGUCUUAAACUUGUAUAACGAUAAAUGUUUUGAAACAAUUUUUUAAUAAUGAUGACAAGUAUUUUAAGACGCGGAAGUAAAAGAUAUAUACUACUCCCUCCGUCCCAUUUUAUGUGGCAACAUUUCCUUAUUUGGUAAGUAUUUAAAGGUACAAUUCCUCUUUUAUCCUUGUUGGUCCCACUUAAUCUUGAAAAGAGUACUCCAAUACAUUUAUUAGAAGAGAGAAAAAUAAGUCUAUUUUUUUAAGGGCAAUUUGGUAAACAUUUCAAAGUCUUUAUCUAUUUCUUAAACUCCGUGCCCGGUCAAAUGUUGCCACAUAAAAUGGGACGGAGGGAGUACAUAUCUUGGCAUUUCACUCUGCAUUUCUUGCUUGAAAGUUUAUUAAAAGGAAAUGAAAUUCGUAACAAUCAUUACUCCAUAAAAUAUGGGGUCCUUUAAAAAUUGUAUUAAUUAAAGUGCAUCACAGCUAGGUUAAGGCUGUUUCUAGAUUUUGUAGAGUGACUAAUCUAUAAGUAUUUUUUCUCUAAACUUGGGUCCUUUAAUCAUCAACCAGAUGGCAUGAUCGAGAUGAAUAAUUAUUAAGUAGAAAAAUUAAUGAUAUAUAAUCUUUUGGUCCCUCCACCUAAUUUCGUAUCCAUUUACUAUAGUGUGUGUAGGUUGAAAAUGACUUUCUUUACUAGAGAAAAUUGAGUAAUUUUAUCAGUAUUUUCAAAACUGUUUUUGGGGUGAGUUUUGGGGUAGGGCGUAUUAAAAAUGCUUUGAGGUGCAAAUUGUAGGUGUAGAUUUAUUGGACAUAAGUUCUGAGCGUAAAAACGUAAGUCCUUGACGUAAAAAUGUACGCUUCGGAUGUUAAAUUUUUUUGGGAUAAGGGUCUGAAAAAUACUCCAACUUUGGUCGGAUUUGCUGUUGCGAUACUAAACUUUCAUGAGGACCUAUUACCUCCCUAGACUAUUUAAUACCGUAUUUUAAACAUAUAUAUUUGUCCACAUGGAUAUAAAAAAUAAUGCAAAAUUAUAAAUAGUAAUGUGUCCACGUGGACACAUAUAUACCUUUAAAAUACACUAUUAAAUAGUUCAGGGGGUAAAAAAUACGGUAUUAAAUAGUCUAGGGAGGUAAUAGGUCCUCAUGAAAGUUUAGUAUCGCAACAGCAAAUGGUGUAAUGGUAUCUAUAUUUUGUAUUUUCAUGUUUUUUCAGGUUGCAGUGAUUUUUUCUAAUAUGUAUAAAUAAAUUGUCAUAGAAAAUGACAUUGUUAUAAAUAAUUUUUUAGAUAAUCGUGUUUGAAAUUAAUAGGAUAGAGCUUUCAUAGCACUAUGUUUUUGAAACAACUUUAUUCAUUUUUUGUCAUUAUUUUUACACUUUUUAUCAUUCUUCUUUAAAAUAUAUAAACAAUAAUCAGUGGAAAUAUUAAUUAAGGGUUAAAAGACUAGUUAAUGUGAAGAUGGGUGAUGAUUUAAUUUUAAAUAUUAUUUUGGCAAUUAUUAUUAGUUGUAAUUAUAAUAUAUUUUUCUAUAUUAUUGGUUAUUAAUACCUUUUCUCAAAUGAUAAUUAUAAUAUUUUUUCUAUAUUAUUAGUUAUUUAUUAAAAUUUAUUUGUAAAAUCAUUGAAAGUUUUACUUUGCUUAUUCUCUUAGUAAUAAAAUUAUAAAAUUGAAUAUACAUGAGAUAUGUGCCCCGUGUCUCGAGGCUUAAGCCUCACCCCCAACUGUAUAAAACGCCUCGCCUCACGCCCCACCUUUUAAAACACUGGUAACUAUAUGCUAGCCUACCAUUAACUUAUUAAAAAAAAAUGUAUUAUGUAUAACAAUUAACAUGGCAUGAUCUUGAUAUACAUGAUAUGGUUCUCCGAAUGAAAGUGAAAAUAAAAUUGGUUGUAUCUCAACAUUUAUAUUCAUGGUAUACAUAAAUAUUGAUGUAGUUCAGUUGAUUGAAUAUGAUAAUUGCUAUUAGUUUCAGUUUAAAAUAUAUAUACACUACUAAAAAGAGUUAAAUAUUUUUUUUGGCAAAAAUCAACCUAAAAUUGGAGGUUUGGUAACUUAGAAAACUCUCAAGUGGAGACUCAAAAAAGUGUUUCACUGGUUUGUUCGAUCAGAAGUUGUUAAAUAUUUGAUAAACACAAAAAUGACCAAUUUUGAUAAUUUAAAGAAUUGAAAUUACUCAUAGUAUAUUUGACCAACUACUAUUUUAGAACAAUAAUAGUAUACUCAAUGAAUUUUCCCCUUUUUAAGUGGAUUGGAAAAUGAUCAAAUAUAAGCAAUUUUUUUUUUUAUUUCUACAUUUAUAAAAUAGAGGAUUGUUUCUUAUAUAUCCUCAAUUUAAAAGAAGGGAAUGAACUAUUUUUGAAGUAUAAAAAAUAAAGGACAUUUUUUGUCAUAUACUUUUAUAUAUAUGUUCGGAGGCAAACUUAAACCUCAGUAGCAUUAUAAACUUUAUCCUUUCUAGCCAUUAUACAUCGCCAGUUCUAAGUUAAACCACACGAAAUCUAGACUUAUUAGUGAUAAUUUUGCAGCAUGUUUUUGUUCAUAUAGCAUAAGCAAUAUGCAAUAACUUUUAUUUUUCCAAAGUGUAGUAUUCAUGAUAGUAGUGGUGGAAUCAUUUUCACUAAAAGAAACAAAGAUUAAACGAGAAAUUCAAUAUCUACUAUAUAUAAAAACUAAUUUUAAUCGUAUACAAACGAUUGUACAUUCUAUUAAAGUAAAUUCGGAUGGAUCCCCCUCGACUUUUGCUAUCUCCGCCCCUCAUGAAUCAUGAUAGUAUAUAUUGGACCUUAUUAUUCAUUAAAUAAAAUAUAAUGUCUUCUCUACUAAUACUAAAGCACUACUACAUCUCGAAAACAAUAAACAUCAUAGCAAUUAGCAACAUUGAACCCCCUUACCAAUUGUCUUUUCUGCCCCUUAUUAAAUUCACAGUUCAGUAAUAAAAUAUGGGCUCAGGCCCAAUCAAAGCCCAAUAAAUGAUCGAUAGAUCACAUCACAGCAACAUCGAAAACAGGUAAAUUCUCACCGGAAACAGGCAGAUCCUCACCGGAGAGAGGCAAAUUCUCACCGGACUUAGUCUUCUUACAUAGAUCUUUGAUGAAAGUGAGCUGAUAAGGUGAAUGAUCAGUCGCGAUCCACUGCUCCACUUUGAAAUUCUGUUGAUCGCAUUCUCUAUGGACUCCGGUGACGGUGACUUCGACGUAGU
rnacentral:lncRNA from 1 species